rnacentral:rRNA from 1 species
AUUGAACGCUGGCGGCAGGCCUAACACAUGCAAGUCGAACGGUAACAGGAAGAAGCUUGCUUCUUUGCUGACGAGUGGCGGAUGGGUGAGUAAUGUCUGGGAAACUGCCUGAUGGAGGGGGAUAACUACUGGAAACGGUAGCUAAUACCGCAUAACGUCGCAAGACCAAAGAGGGGGACCUUCGGGCCUCUUGCCAUCGGAUGUGCCCAGAUGGGAUUAGCUAGUAGGUGGGGUAACGGCUCACCUAGGCGACGAUCCCUAGCUGGUCUGAGAGGAUGACCAGCCACACUGGAACUGAGACACGGUCCAGACUCCUACGGGAGGCAGCAGUGGGGAAUAUUGCACAAUGGGCGCAAGCCUGAUGCAGCCAUGCCGCGUGUAUGAAGAAGGCCUUCGGGUUGUAAAGUACUUUCAGCGGGGAGGAAGGGAGUAAAGUUAAUACCCUUGCUCAUUGACGUUACCCGCAGAAGAAGCACCGGCUAACUCCGU